rnacentral:rRNA from 1 species
UGGGGAAUUUUGGACAAUGGGGGAAACCCUGAUCCAGCCAUCCCGCGUGUGCGAUGAAGGCCUUCGGGUUGUAAAGCACUUUUGGCAGGAAAGAAACGUCAUGGGUUAAUACCCUGUGAAACUGACGGUACCUGCAGAAUAAGCACCGGCUAACUACGUGCCAGCAGCCGCGGUAAUACGUAGGGUGCAAGCGUUAAUCGGAAUUACUGGGCGUAAAGCGUGCGCAGGCGGUUCGGAAAGAAAGAUGUGAAAUCCCAGAGCUCAACUUUGGAACUGCAUUUUUAACUGCCGGGCUGGAGUGUGUCAGAGGGAGGUGGAAUUCCGCGUGUAGCAGUGAAAUGCGUAGAUAGACGGAGGAACACCGAUGGCGAAGGCAGCCUCCAGGGAUAAAACUGACGCUCAUGCACGAAAGCGUGGGGAGCAAACAGG